GACGAACGCUGGCGGCGUGCUUAACACAUGCAAGUCGAACGAAGUGGCGAACGGGUGAGUAACGCGUAAUCAACCUGCCCUUCAGAGGGGGACAACAGUUGGAAACGACUGCUAAUACCGCAUACUGAAGGUGGGGAUUGCGUCUGCUUAGCUAGUUGGAGGGGUAACGGCCCACCAAGGCGAAGAUCAGUAGCCGGUCUGAGUGGAUGAACGGCCACAUUGGGACUGAGACACGGCCCCGACUCCUACGGGAGGACGCAGUGGGGAAUCUUCCGCAAUGGACGAAAGUCUGGCGCGGCAACGCCGCGGGAAUGAUGACGGCCUUCGGGUUGUAAAGCUCUUGUAGUCGGGACGCGGUACCGAAAUAGAAAGCCACGGCUAACUACGUGCCAGCAGCCGCGGUAAUUC
rnacentral:rRNA from 1 species